GGACAUAUCAUAACGAAGAGGUAUCGUAAUUGAAGAGGUUUGGAAAGACCCACCACAGAAGGUAAUAGUCCUGUAUGUUAAACGAGAAGACUUCAGAUAUGAUCCAGAGUACCACGGGACACGUGAAACCCUGUGGGAAGCAGGAGGGACCACCCUCCAAGGCUAAAUACUACCUAGUGACCGAUAGCGUAUAGUACCGUGAGGGAAAGGUGAAAAGAACCCCGGGAGGGGAGUGAAAUAGAACCUGAAACCCUGCACUUACAAGCUGUGGAAGCACAUUUCUUGUGUGACCGCGUACUUUUUGUAGAACGGGCCAACGAGUUACGUUAAGUAGCAAGGUUAAGCACUUAAGGUGUGGAGCCGUAGCGAAAGCGAGUUUUAACUGAGCGUUCAGUUACUUGACGUAGACCCGAAACCGGGCGACCUACCCAUGAGCAGGAUGAAGCGAAAGUAAAAUUUCGUGGAGGUCCGAACCCACGAGCGUUGAAAAGCUCGGGGAUGACUUGUGGGUAGCGGUGAAAUUCCAAUCGAGCCCGGAGAUAGCUGGUUCUCCCCGAAAUAGCUUUAGGGCUAGCCUCAAGGUGAGAGAUACGGAGGUAGAGCACUGAAUGUCCUAGGGGGUAUUGCACCUACCGAAGACUAUCAAACUCCGAAUGCCGUCAUCUUAUACUUGGGAGUCAGACUGUGGGUGAUAAGAUUCAUAGUCGAAAGGGCAACAGCCCAGAUCGUCAGCUAAGGUCCCUAAAUGUAAGUUAAGUGGUAAAGGAUGUGGGAUUGCACAGACAACCAGGAUGUUGGCUUAGAAGCAGCCACUCAUUCAAAGAGUGCGUAAUAGCUCACUGGUCGAGUGAUCCUGCGCCGAAGAUUUCCGGGGCUAAAACUUACUACCGAAGCUACGGCAUCAGUAAUGAUGGGUAGGGGAGCUUCCCAUACGGGUUGAAGCAUGACCGUAAGGACAUGUGGACAGUAUGGGAGUGAGAAUGUUGGCAUGAGUAGCGAGAUGUGGGUGAGAAUCCCACAGGCCGUAAACCCAAGGUUUCCAGGGGAAGGUUCGUCCGCCCUGGGUUAGUCGGGACCUAAGCUGAGGCCGAAAGGCGUAGGUGAUGGACAACAGGUUGAUAUUCCUGUACUACCGAUAACCGUUUGAGAGAAGGGAUGACACAGUAGGAUAAGCUAAGCACACUGUUGGUUAUGUGUGCCCAAGCAUUGAGGCAGUCAAAGUAGGCAAAUCCGCUUUGAUAAUGCUGGGAUGUGAUGGGGAGCGAAAUUUAGUAGCGAAGUAGCUGAUUUCACACUGUCAAGAAAAGUCUCUAUCGAGGUUAAAGGUACCCGUACCGCAAACCGACACAGGUGGGUGAGGAGAGUAUCCUAAGGCCAGCGAGAGAACUGUUGUUAAGGAACUCGGCAAAAUGACCCCGUAACUUAGGGAUAAGGGGUGCCACCAUCAGGUGGCCGCAGAGAAUAGGCCCAAGCGACUGUUUACCAAAAACAUAGGUUUCUGCUAAGUCGCAAGACGAUGUAUAGGAGCUGACGCCUGCCCGGUGCUGGAAGGUUAAGGGGAUCUGUUAGAGCAAUCGAAGCAGUGAACUUAAGCCCCAGUAAACGGCGGCCGUAACUAUAACGGUCCUAAGGUAGCGAAAUUCCUUGUCGGGUAAGUUCCGACCCGCACGAAAGGCGUAACGAUUUGGGCACUGUCUCAACAACAGACUCGGUGAAAUUGUAAUUCCGGUGAAGAUGCCGGAUACCUGCGACAGGACGGAAAGACCCCAUGGAGCUUUACUGUAGCUUGACAUUGGGUCUUGGUACUACAUGUACAGGAUAGGUGGGAGGCUUUGAAACCAGGACGCCAGUUUUGGCGGAGCCAUCCUUGGGAUACCACCCUUGUAGUACUGGGACUCUAACCAUAGGCCAUGAAUCUGGUCUUGGGACACUGUCAGGUGGGCAGUUUGACUGGGGCGGUCGCCUCCCAAAAGGUAACGGAGGCGCUCAAAGGUUCUCUCAGUACGGUCGGAAAUCGUACGUAGAGUGUAAAGGCAAAAGAGAGCUUGAUUGCAAGACAUACAGGUCGAGCAAGGAUGAAAAUCGGACUUAGUGAUCCGGUGGUUCUGCGUGGAAGGGCCAUCGCUCAACGGAUAAAAGCUACCCUGGGGAUAACAGGCUUAUCUCCCCCAAGAGUCCACAUCGACGGGGAGGUUUGGCACCUCGAUGUCGGCUCAUCACAUCCUGGGGCUGUAGUAGGUCCCAAGGGUUGGGCUGUUCGCCCAUUAAAGUGGUACGCGAGCUGGGUUCAGAACGUCGUGAGACAGUUCGGUCCCUAUCCGUCGCAGGCGUAGGAAAUUUGAGAAGACCUGUCCUUAGUACGAGAGGACCGGGAUGGACGUACCUCUGGUGUACCAGUUGUUCUGCCAAGGGCAUGGCUGGGUAGCUAUGUACGGAAUGGAUAAGCGCUGAAAGCAUCUAAGCGCGAAGCCAACU
rnacentral:rRNA from 1 species